rnacentral:piRNA from 2 species
AACGCAGGUGUCCUAAGG